AGUGAACGCUGGCGGUAGGCCUAACACAUGCAAGUCGAACGGCAGCACAGUAAGAGCUUGCUCUUACGGGUGGCGAGUGGCGGACGGGUGAGGAAUACAUCGGAAUCUACUUUUUCGUGGGGGAUAACGUAGGGAAACUUACGCUAAUACCGCAUACGACCUACGGGUGAAAGCAGGGGAUCUUCGGACCUUGCGCGAUUGAAUGAGCCGAUGUCGGAUUAGCUAGUUGGCGGGGUAAAGGCCCACCAAGGCGACGAUCCGUAGCUGGUCUGAGAGGAUGAUCAGCCACACUGGAACUGAGACACGGGCCAGACCCCUAGGGGGGGCAGGAGGGGGGAAUUUUGGAAAAGGGGCGAAAGCCUGAUCCAGCCAACCCGGGGGGGGGAAGAAGGCCUUCGGGUUGUAAAGCCCUUUUUUUGGGAAAAAAAAGCAGCAGGUUAAUCCCCCUCUGUUCUGAGGGUACCAAAAAAAAAAGCACCGGCUAACUUCGU
rnacentral:rRNA from 1 species